ACAGACGCUAGUCCAUAAUCGUUCAAAAUUAACAUAUUGAAUAAUGAAUGAAGGUGUGCGAACUUGAACUUUUAUGGAACUUUGCUUUUAAAAGAUCGUACUUGCCGCGCAUUAAAAAUAUUUCGUCUAGAUAUAGCCGAAAAACAAUCAGAUUGUGCACGUAAUCCAGAAAAACAAGGUGAUGGAAUUCGCAUUUUAAGGAAAUAAUUGGUGGGGGGACCCUCCCUUUUAAACUGCAAAAUUUGAUGAACGUGUGGCACACCUUCAAGGUAUAGGCUACCUACUGCGAAAAAUUCCAGGACUCUAGGAACUUCCCCUAGUAGUUCGAAACGGUAGAAAUGGGUGCAUGGGGAAUUCUUAAAAAAUGCACUAAAAAAUAGAAAAUUCCUACACAACAGCAAAACAUCUCGCAAAACAUAUAACCACAUAUGUUUACAAAAAGCACUUCAGAUAAGAAACCACUUGUGAUUGGAAAUGCCAAGGCGGUGCGUAGGGCCCUUAGUGUAUAAAGUUAUAGGUACCUUUCAGUGAGAAAGCUCACCACCAACUUGAGAAAGGAGACUACAACCAGUUGCCACUAAUCAAUUAAUUCAUAGGGCACUAUCACUGCUGCGCAAAGUGUCGACGAAAUUAAGCGAUUAAGAAUAAAGUACACAUAAUAAUCUAAAGCGAUAUUUUUUUUGUAAAUUCAAAUCUCACUUGAUCUAUGGUAAUACGCUAUUUGUAUGAUUUGCAAAUUUAUAUUUGAUCACAGAAGUAUUCGACCGUCCCUCGUACAUGUUAUUGGAACUUUUAUUUGCAUCGUGACCUUCAAACUUAUUUUUAGCUCACACUUUUCACGUAGAUAUCAUUCAGGAUUAAUCUAAUAAAGAACAAA